rnacentral:rRNA from 1 species
UACAACGUUGAUAGGCAGGAUGUGGAAGUGGUGUGAGCCAUUAAGCUAACCUGUACUAAUUACCCGUGAGGCUUAACCAU